rnacentral:rRNA from 1 species
AUUCGAUUAGAGUUUGAUCAUGGCUCAGAUUGAACGCUGGCGGCAGGCUUAACACAUGCAAGUCGAGCGGUAGCACAGGGGAGCUUGCUCCCUGGGUGACGAGCGGCGGACGGGUGAGUAAUGUCUGGGAAACUGCCUGAUGGAGGGGGAUAACUACUGGAAACGGUAGCUAAUACCGCAUAACGUCGCAAGACCAAAGAGGGGGACCUUCGGGCCUCUUGCCAUCAGAUGUGCCCAGAUGGGAUUAGCUAGUAGGUGGGGUAAUGGCUCACCUAGGCGACGAUCCCUAGCUGGUCUGAGAGGAUGACCAGCCACACUGGAACUGAGACACGGUCCAGACUCCUACGGGAGGCAGCAGUGGGGAAUAUUGCACAAUGGGCGCAAGCCUGAUGCAGCCAUGCCGCGUGUGUGAAGAAGGCCUUCGGGUUGUAAAGCACUUUCAGCGAGGAGGAAGGUGGUGAGCUUAAUACGCUCAUCAAUUGACGUUACUCGCAGAAGAAGCACCGGCUAACUCCGUGCCAGCAGCCGCGGUAAUACGGAGGGUGCAAGCGUUAAUCGGAAUUACUGGGCGUAAAGCGCACGCAGGCGGUUUGUUAAGUCAGAUGUGAAAUCCCCGGGCUCAACCUGGGAACUGCAUUUGAAACUGGCAAGCUAGAGUCUCGUAGAGGGGGGUAGAAUUCCAGGUGUAGCGGUGAAAUGCGUAGAGAUCUGGAGGAAUACCGGUGGCGAAGGCGGCCCCCUGGACGAAGACUGACGCUCAGGUGCGAAAGCGUGGGGAGCAAACAGGAUUAGAUACCCCGGUAGUCCACGCUGUAAACGAUGUCGAUUUGGAGGUUGUGCCCUUGAGGCGUGGCUUCCGGAGCUAACGCGUUAAAUCGACCGCCUGGGGAGUACGGCCGCAAGGUUAAAACUCAAAUGAAUUGACGGGGGCCCGCACAAGCGGUGGAGCAUGUGGUUUAAUUCGAUGCAACGCGAAGAACCUUACCUACUCUUGACAUCCAGAGAACUUUCCAGAGAUGGAUUGGUGCCUUCGGGAACUCUGAGACAGGUGCUGCAUGGCUGUCGUCAGCUCGUGUUGUGAAAUGUUGGGUUAAGUCCCGCAACGAGCGCAACCCUUAUCCUUUGUUGCCAGCGGUUCGGCCGGGAACUCAAAGGAGACUGCCAGUGAUAAACUGGAGGAAGGUGGGGAUGACGUCAAGUCAUUAUGGCCCUUACGAGUAGGGCUACACACGUGCUACAAUGGCGUAUACAAAGAGAAGCGACCUCGCGAGAGCAAGCGGACCUCAUAAAGUACGUCGUAGUCCGGAUUGGAGUCUGCAACUCGACUCCAUGAAGUCGGAAUCGCUAGUAAUCGUAGAUCAGAAUGCUACGGUGAAUACGUUCCCGGGCCUUGUAGA